UCUGGCUUCAGUUUCUGGAGGAAAAGACCGGGUUAACUUGGGAACCCCGGAGGAAGACCGGGAUGGAGAACAGGCUCUCCUAGGUUUCCAACCCCUGUGGGAGGGGCGUGGUGUGAAUAUGACCUGCUUCUCCCUGAGCAGCUCCGUUCCCCUCCAGCACGUCCUCAGUUUUUCUUCUGACUCUUCUCUUAGCUACUUGUCCUCGCUUCCCACCAAUGCCUCGAGUCCAUCUUCACAUAGAGGAUUCUACAUCCCGAUAUAUGGAGCUUCAAAGAGAGCACCAACAUAUAGUUGAAGCUUCUUGAAGUGGAUGGUUAUUAAUACAGAGACAACUGGUCAACGUGAAGCAAAUUAAAAAGUGUUCAACUCUAAAUGAGACAUCUGUAUCACACCUCUACUUCCAAGACUCAGGACCCACAUUGGAGAGGGGACAAAAAGACUCUAAUGGCUGGAAGGAGUCGAUGUCUGCAGCAAAAACGGUAUUUGCUGGUCAUGGCAGUGCCAUUACAUACAUGAACUCAAGUUUGAAUGUAUGAGACUGCCACAAGACCAAGCAUAGACAUGGCAGGAAUUAUUGAAAUUCUACCCUUAUCUGGGGAGCACUUGGUAGCUGUUGGUUGCUGGAGGAGGGGGGAGUUGUUUUUCUUCAGGGAUGCUCUCCCUGAGCAGCUACCCAUUCUCCAAUAGAUGACCCAUACCCAUUCAUAUGUACACAAUACAAAGUGGUCUCAGUGGGCUUAAAAUUAAGGACGUAUGAAGGUGGGAUGAAAAAUGGUUGUGGGAAUGGGGGUGACAUUGGGAACACUUUGUGAUCAUGUAUGAAAUUUCCGAACAAUGUUAAACAAAAAGAUUAUACACGAUAUGAAGGGGGAAAUGAGAAAAAUGGGAUAUGGGAUUUCUUUGGGGAUGGUGGAGGGGGAACAAUACUGAAGGACAGGGUUAGAAGAAGGAUAAGUGAUAAUAAGGAUGUUUGAUAUAGCCACUGGGAAUCAUUAUGCUAAAUUUACAUAUAAUACACAUAAAUGUAUGUGCAUACAUAUGUUUUUUAAAUGAAGUUAUGCUCUUUAGGAUAAUAAUGCUUUUCCCCAAAGUCAUAGACUAUUUAAUAAAAAUUCCAGUACCAGGAAUGAGAAGCUUCCUCUGGAGUUGUUGGUCUCCCAAAACAAUUUAAGCUCUUGCUGUUGCCCUUGUUUGCUUCCCAGAAGUUGACAAUAAAUCCCAUUGCAGAAGACAUCACACACUUUGGACACAUAGCUCAGGGGAUUUGAGCUGGAUCUGAUUUGAAAGCCUCCCUGAGGGAUUAACUUUUGUAGUACCAAAGCACUGUACAGGUUUCCAAGGGAGAAAAGCCAUCACUAAUCCUACCUAGCUGUAAUGUCUAUGAACCAAAACAGACCAGCAUGGCACAGUAGCUGUAUAGGUGGAGUAAUGGUACUGAAGUAUUGGCAGUAACUAAACUUAACUAGACUUAACUAAACAGUUACUAGACUUAAGGCUUGUUUAAUGAAAGAGAAAUCAUGCCUCAUACUGUAAACCUAACCAAUUACCUGUGACUAGUGUGGGUAGGCAUGUUAGAAGCAAAUAUAUUGUGGUCACUUUCUUAAGCCUGUAUAAUUUUCAUUUUUGUUCUAAAUGUUUAUCCAUAUACCCACAGAUAAGUGUAGCCUUCAUCUCUCAUCAAAGAAGCUUCUUUGUUUUCCUUCAGUAGAUAGAAAACAUGGCAGAAAUCCAUAAUGCUUUAAAAUGCAGAGAACAACUGACUGUGGGUGGGGUGCUCAGCCCUAACUGAUACAUCAACAGUACAAUCCAUAUAACUAACACAAUCCCUAUUACUAAGGCUAGGAAACAUCCCAGAAGAUGGAGUGUAAAGAUUAUAAGGCCCAGGGUGUGAUGUGGCAAGACAGUACAGAGGUUUCUCCAUCUCAUAUUCUUGCUGAGAUUUUUUCAAGGUUUAACUAAAAUUUGAUUUUCUGUAUGCAAAACCCCAUGGAAAAUUACCAAACUCUAUUCUAGGAACCUAAAUACGAGAUGCCCCUAAUUAACUCUUACCUUCUGUCAAACUGCUUGCUUGCACAAAAUCUCCCCCUGCAGCUGCCAAGUGAGAUACCAGAAUGUGGUUUUUGCCUUUAAGAACUCUUUACUCUAAAUACUGGGCACUGCAUUUGAGUUUUGGGCACCUGAGUGUAAUCCCAGUUGGCAAGAAUAAAGACUUUUAGUUGGCUAUAAA